UGGGGAAUUUUGGACAAUGGGCGCAAGCCUGAUCCAGCCAUGCCGCGUGCAGGAUGACGGUCCUAUGGAUUGUAAACUGCUUUUUGUACAGGAAGAAACAGUUCUACGUGUAGAACCUUGACGGUACUGUAAGAAUAAGGAUCGGCUAACUCCGUGCCAGCAGCCGCGGUAAUACGGAGGAUCCAAGCGUUAUCCGGAAUCAUUGGGUUUAAAGGGUCCGUAGGCGGUUAGAUAAGUCAGUGGUGAAAGCCCAUCGCUCAACGGUGGAACGGCCAUUGAUACUGUCUGACUUGAAUUAUUAGGAAGUAACUAGAAUAUGUAGUGUAGCGGUGAAAUGCUUAGAGAUUACAUGGAAUACCAAUUGCGAAGGCAGGUUACUACUAAUGGAUUGACGCUGAUGGACGAAAGCGUGGGUAGCGAACAGGAUUAGAUACCCCCGUAGUCCCUGAGCGGGCUGGCAAGGCGCAU
rnacentral:rRNA from 1 species